rnacentral:misc_RNA from 1 species
AGCCGGGAUGAGACCAACUACGGUAGCAAGGAAGAAGGUAUGGUAAGGCACAUCAACGAUCGGAGAUGCAACAUUGAUGAAUGUAUUUGGCAAGGUUGGAGUCAAUCUUAGAAAAAGCAUGUAGUUCAACAGUCUUUCCCUCCUCCUAGAAACCUGAUCUUGAAAGAACUUCACCUUGUCAGGCCAAAGAGUAAAGGCAAGGGGCUUCCCAAUCAUCUUCGAGAGGAAAUAGCAAGAGGAAGCUCCAGCUGUAGCAGUGAAUACAACGAGAGCAACGCCCUUGAAAACUCCGAAGAGGGCUCCGGCCAGCAGUGACAUGAAAACCGUUCCAGGUAUCAUGAAGGUCUGCAUAAAGAUGUAGACGACGCAGUAUCCCACCAAGACCUGUGCAGUGUAGUCACUUGUAUAUUCCUCAAGGUGAUCUCUGAGGAUUUGAAGAUCUUGAAGGUUACGAGGAAGCUUGAGGAAGCUGUAAUCGGAGGCCGGCAUGGUUAGGUAAACACAGAGAAGGCCAAAAAGGAAGGUAAUUACAACAGUGGUAAACACACCCACCUCCCAAAAACUCAAUUGAAACUUACCCAUCUUACCAACAACCACAUUCAUUUCCCCUUUCUUCUCCAUUUUCUUCCAAGAUCUUUAUUCCCCCCCUUUCCCUUGACACUAAAUAACCCCUUUUCCCUUUUCUCGGGAAACAAACAGAGAAGCAGAGGAAAAGGGGGGAAGAGAAAGGGAAAGGGAAGGAGAAACUGAAACCUAUUUUACAACUCCAUUACCAUACCAACCAAUUAUCUUCUUUCCUUUAGG